rnacentral:rRNA from 1 species
AUUGAACGCUGGCGGAAUGCUUUACACAUGCAAGUCGAACGGCAGCACGGACUUCGGUCUGGUGGCGAGUGGCGAACGGGUGAGUAAUGUAUCGGAACGUGCCCAGUAGUGGGGGAUAGCCCGGCGAAAGCCGGAUUAAUACCGCAUACGACCUAAGGGUGAAAGGGGGGGAUCGCAAGACCUCUCGCUAUUGGAGCGGCCGAUGUCAGAUUAGGUAGUUGGUGGGGUAAAGGCCUACCAAGCCGACGAUCUGUAGCUGGUCUGAGAGGACGACCAGCCACACUGGGACUGAGACACGGCCCAGACUCCUACGGGAGGCAGCAGUGGGGAAUUUUGGACAAUGGACGCAAGUCUGAUCCAGCCAUGCCGCGUGCGGGAAGAAGGCCUUCGGGUUGUAAACUGCUUUUGUACAGAACGAAAAGGUUUCUACUAAUACUAGGAGCUCAUGACGGUACUGUAAGAAUAAGCACCGGCUAACUACGUGCCAGCCGCCGCCGUAA